AGUGAACGCUGGCGGUAGGCCUAACACAUGCAAGUCGAACGGCAGCACAGUAAGAGCUUGCUCUUACGGGUGGCGAGUGGCGGACGGGUGAGGAAUACAUCGGAAUCUACUUUUUCGUGGGGGAUAACGUAGGGAAACUUACGCUAAUACCGCAUACGACCUACGGGUGAAAGCAGGGGAUCUUCGGACCUUGCGCGAUUGAAUGAGCCGAUGUCGGAUUAGCUAGUUGGCGGGGUAAAGGCCCACCAAGGCGACGAUCCGUAGCUGGUCUGAGAGGAUGAUCAGCCACACUGGAACUGAGACAUGGUCCAGACUCCUACGGGAGGCAGCAGUGGGGAAUAUUGGACAAUGGGCGCAAGCCUGAUCCAGCCAUACCGCGUGGGUGAAGAAGGCCUUCGGGUUGUAAAGCCCUUUUGUUGGGAAAGAAAAGCAGCAGGUUAAUACCCCGCUGUUCUGACGGUACCCAAAGAAUAAGCACCGGCUAACUUCG
rnacentral:rRNA from 1 species